rnacentral:lncRNA from 1 species
CCCGAGCACGGCCGUGAUGAAGCUGGAUCUGAGCUGCAGUGUUUGGGUCCUGGCCGUCGGUUUGCUGCCGUUGGUCCAAAUUACUGCCGGAUCCAUUUUGGGUGCAGCUGUUAAUAUCGAACUGCUUGAUCAGGACAGAUCCCAGCCGGUCAGGGCUCAUUACAGCGUGGUGUCCAGUUUGCCCUGUCCGUCCCUGGAUGAGCUGUGUAACGGAGGAGACUGUGUGGAUCAGCUCAGCUCCUCUCCUCUGACAGGGGCUUUACCUUCACCAGGCUGGUGUCUUCAUGAGUGGCAGAAAAACAUUCCUAAACACCACACGUCUGCUCUUCAGCUUGGGUGAGUGUUUGCAGUCAAAAACCUGUGCAGUGACUGAAAUCUCAUACUGCGUUCACUGCACCUCCCUUUAGAUCCGAUAGAGCCGUGCCACUAUAUUCAAGAGCAGAUCUGUCUGUCAGAGCCGACACUAACCGUGUUAACCAGCCUCCGUUUGUGGCUCUUCCCCCUCCAGUCAGGUGAACAGCGCUUCAGAGGCCCAGAAA